GGAAGAACUGUGCUGAAUUUGCUUCAGAGGGCUUUAGCCUUCGUCACUGAAGAUGCAUUCUGAGUUCUGAAUCAGUCCAUUGUGGAAAAGAGUCACAGAACAGGAUGACUACCAAAAAAACCACCUGCUUGGGUAAACCAUGUGUUUCCUGUGUGUCCAGAUAUGGUUUAUGUCAGUGCCUGGAUAAAAAUGGGAGACCACAAGCUGUAAAGGCUGAAGUUUGGGACACAGUCUCCAGAAUUGACUCUGCAGGUCCACUAUCCAUGUUAAGACCACCUCUACUUCUCUUGAUGGAACCAAAUGUAUAAAGGGUUUUGUUGACUGCAAACUGAAUUAGGAACAAUUGUGACAUUGCUAAAUACUGCACUGAAACUUUGGUCUUAUUCCUAGUUAGUAGGCAUGUUUUUAAAAAGAAAAAAAGUAAAGUUUAAGUCCACCCACAGCAUUAGCAGAAACAAGAGUAAUAUUGACUGAAGUCAUCAGUCUAUCCUGAUUUAAGAGGGAAUGUUGUGGUAUCUUUCCUCUUCAUCAGCAUGGUGGUGGGGGUGACGCAGCUCUGGCUUUGGUCAUGGUAGUUGAACUCCCAAGAAAAGUAGAGGCUAGGUAGGCCCUUUAAGAGGCAGUAUCUUUCUGGGACAUAUUGGAUGGCUUUUCAAGAUACAGCAAAGCAACGGAAGGCCUCUCUCCCUGACAACCUCUUUCUGUGGGACUGUUCUUCACAGUAAUAGAAAUCCAUUGUCAGGUAGAAACGUAAAACUGUUAUUUCUGCAAGACCUUUUCCUUGGUCUAGGAUGGCCCAUGUGGUUUUGUGUGAUGAAAACUCUAUGUGCUGCAUAUAGUGCAGCAUUGACUGGAGGACGCUUGUUUAUGAACUGCUAGGGGAGAGAGAAGAGGAUUUCUGCUCCAAGAUUUUGCAUGUUGAUAUCUCUCUAACAGAACAGCACAUUCCUUCCAGCCAGAGAGUGCCUUUCUCAGAAAACCACUCAUCAUGUAGGAAAAUAAAACUUCUUUUUCUUCCUCCCCUCAUCUCCCUCAAAGUCCUUGGUUUAGCAGUCCUGGGAGGUUGAGGGUAGAGGAGAGAACCUACCCCUCCAGCAGUGGCAUUGACCUCUGCUAAUAGUCAUAAAGUAGCCAGCCCACACUUUCCAAGCCACUGGUCCUUUAAGAAUUUCUAUUGCUUCUGCUGUAAAUAAACUGGUGCUUAGAUAUUAUCAGUUCAUUGAACCUUUAGCUCUGUUUAGGCUGUAAAAUGUGAGCUUGUUAAGAUUUGUUUGACUGGAUUAAGCUGACAGCUAACAGAAAUGAUCUAUGGCUAGUAGGAGCUUUUAAAAUAUAAACUGUUAGGAGGAUUGAAAGACUGGGUAGUGGGUUUCUCUAAAGUUUUGUGGCUGCACAUUGAGGUGAUCCAACUUCUACUUCUCAUGGAAACCUUUCCUGCAAUCUCACUGCCUCAUACUACAGUUUCGUAAAACCAUCUUGUCCUAUAUUGGACACACUCACUUCAUAGCUAAUAGUGAUGCUUGCUUUGCACUGGAAACGAGUCCUCUCAGAGGCAGGAUCUUUAUUGAAAACUUACACUGGAACAAACAUGCAAUGCAGUUUAGUUAAAAAACCCAUUGGGUACCAUGGGCCCAAGUUUUUUCACUAAAAUGAAAUAACGCUUAUGAAGCUUUUGUUCAGUAAACUACCUGCAGAAAUAGCCUGGUUCAAAGCUUGCUUACUUUUUGCACUUCAGACUUCAGUUUUACCAACACAGUUUGUAUGUGAUCUAAAACCUUGGGCAUGUGUGUGAAUAACACAGAAAUGAAGACACUUCAUGUAUUAAAAGGUAAGCUUUUUUAACUGCAUGCACAGAAUACCAGUCUGGUAAUGAACAAUGCUAUCAGUUGGCUAUGGUGACAGUAAAUCUUCCAGUUCAAUGUGUGCACAGUUGUGAUCUGUAAGUAUUUGCAUACCUCAAUUGCUGCUAAUCCAGUGCCUUACACCAAUUCUGCAUCACCUUUGGCUGACAAUGACUGUCUGUAAUGAAUCCUGCUGAAUUGGUGCUGAAAACUGUUCAUCUGCUAGUGUAGAUGGGAGAGAACCAUUUUUCAGCACCUUUACAGGUAUCUUCCAGCAGUGGUGCUUGAAAACGAUAUCUGAGGGGAGGAGAUGGUGCUCUGGUCAGUGUGUGCUUUUUUUGGAGUGGGGAUUAUAGAAGGGAUAAACAUCUGGGAGGCAUAGCUGGAGAGAACAAGUGAUGCAUCCAAGUUCUGUACUCGUAUUCAGUACCUCCACAUGCCUUACAGAAGCAUGAAGUCUGCUUCUCCUGUAAGUUAGGACCGUAUACAAAAUCCAUUAAAGUAAAUGGAAAGACUCCCACUGAUUUCAAUGGGCUCUGGAUCAGGCCAGACAUUUGUCAUCCGAGAUCUUGAGUGUCAUUACAUAGCUGUGGUACAUCACACUAAUGCUCGCAUUCCCCAAAGAAUCUUUGCAUUUGCUGUCUGCAGAACAAAUAUAUAAAAUAGGAGAACGUGGUGAAAGUUACAGUAAUCGUGGCAUUGCUACUUCAGCCAAGCUUUUAAAGUGUCCGUGUGUACUCAGAUUCUCUGGUUUUUGCUUUGCGGUGUUUAAUUACUUUAUUUGCAAGUGCACCUCUACCUCGAUAUAACGCUGUCGUCAGGAGCCAAAAAAUCUUACCGCGUUAUAGGUGAAACCGCGUUACAUUGAACUUGCUUUGAUCCACCAGAGUGCGCAGCCCCGCCCCCCCCAGAGCACUGCUUUACCGCGUUAUAUCCGAAUUCAUGUUAUAUCGGGUCGCAUAUAUCGGGGUAGAGGUGUAUACAAGAAAAACUAUAAAGCGCCAAAAUACUGUUUGCUAACAAGAUAUUGGGAGGGGCGGGGGGUGUUAGUAACAUAGCCACUCUUACUAGCUGGUUUAAAAAAAAAAUUAACUAGCACUUCCUCUGUCUUCUAAUGUUUUGGGCUGUUGUGGGAGACAGUUUACAACUGCAAUCCAAUUUAUAAGCACCCCAUCCCAUGUAACUCAUCAACGGCAUCCAUCUGUACUUAAAGCCAAAAAAAUCCCUAGCCAAUAACAUUAGACAGCUGCAUUUGUAUGUUUCAGGUAAUUAAGGUUUUAGCAGAGUAUUGUGAGAAAACCAAAAUCUAAAGAGUGGGGCUGUAAAAGUCCUUACCAGAUUCACUGGCAUGUUUCUCUCUCACUGCUUCAGCUGUGAUACUGCUAACAGUGCUCCAGACAUAAAAAAACAUGGACUGUGUAUAAACUUUCAGUUCAGUUAGGUACAAAACUACGGAUUCUACUCACUUUGUUAUACUGAUUUCUUGGGGAGAGUUUGGUGCCUUAGGUCUUAGGUUAUGAAGCAAAUCAACUACUUUGUGAGCCUGCUGCUUUCAAAAUUCAAUUUUAUUCAUGGGAAUUGGAUUAAGUGAAUGUGGUAGAACCAUGUCCAUUGCUAUUAGCUUUCUGUGUCAGAGAUGUUGUAGGCUUUCUGUACAUCAGUGUUCAGAAAUAUAGUAAUCACCAGUACUGCUAAUGUGUUUGCCCAAAUUUUUAUUAAUGAGGCUUUGUUCAGAUCCAGCCUGUCACUGCUUCAUUUCCCCAGCACUUCCAGCUAUUUUAAGUUAAUUUCCACCUCAAGCGCUGUCAGUCUCUUAGACCUCCCUUCUAUCUUUACCUUUAUGGUUAAUAUGGAAAAUAUUUCUAUGCAUGCAUUUUGCAUAAUGAUACAUCAUCUCACUAAUAUGAUGAUGCAGUUGUGACUGGGGCAGGCAAACCGCAGGAUGGCUUUGGCUGUGACCAAGUGAAAGCGAGCUGGAAAAAGUCCAGCUCCUCAGCUUUGCUUUUCCUCCCUGGCAUUUUUAGAUCAAUUCCAGGAAAGCCCAUACAAGUAUUCUUUGUUAUGCACGGAAGAGAGGCAUGUCUUGGGACUCUAAAAGGGCUAGCAAAGGAGAUGUUUAACAAGGAUUCGUUCAGCAUUCAGAAAAAAACAAUCCUGUCAUUCCUUUUUUGUGGCUAAGCUCUGUCCACCUAAUAAUGUGCAACGUCUAACCUUCUUUCGAUCUCCCAUUGAGAGAAGAGAUGCAACAAUAAACACAGUGCUUCCUUUAAAAGUCCUAGCACCUAAUUCACUGAAUGGUCUGCAUCACCUUCUCAUUGGAGGCUGAAAACUGCUGACUGGGUAGGGAAAACUGACCUGAAAAGCUAUGUUCAGCACCAGUUCACAUAAGUGGGUUAAGAUCAUAACAUACCUAAAAGAAAAGAGCAGCCUUUAUUAGGAGUUACAGAACUCCAGCUAUGUCUACAGGUUAGUAAAAGACUCACGGCACAUCUGUGGCUGGCCCAGGUCAGCUGAGUCGGGCUUGCAGGACUCAGGCUGGGGGCUAAAAAUUGCAGUGUAAACAUUCAGGCUUGGGCUGGAGCCAGCCCGAGUCCUGCAAGCCCAAGUCAAUUGACCUGGGUUCUGAGGCUCAGUGUAGUUGUAUCUUGAGACUACUUAACCUAUUACUGAACUCUGGGACAGAUUCACUGAAGCAUAAUUGCUCUUAAUGCGAAAUGGUUAUACUUGCAGAGAUGAGAGCAAGUAUAACCCUCCUGGGCUUUUUACUUUAAUAUAUUUUAAGCCUUUAUAGUAUUUUUCUUCUGCGUAAGACCAAACAAAACUUUUCCAGUUUUAAAGUAAAAAUAGCCCCCUUGUUUCACCUCCUUAUCCUGUCAGGCUUUCUCUGAGCACAGUACUUUCUGUCCUUGGCUUUUUGAUCUGGCAGAUUCUGUUGGCAUCUCUCAAGCUUACUGUUAGGCCAGUCUGUAAGCUUCUUUGGAUUCCCUGGAUUUCAGAAGGCUACUCAUGGUCCAGGAUCACAACUAGGACCCAAGUGGUAGUUGUGUUGUUUCCAUCUUUUGUUUUUUAAAUGGAUUAAAUCUAUCCGGUGACUUACAGUUGUGUUAUAUGUUUGACACAGAUCUCUUCAGUGGAAUCCAGAACUGACAAUGCAGGGUCCAGCAAGUCACUUUGGUGUAUCUGAUAGUUGACUGCAUCUAAGCAGGACAGUUUAAGUGUGCUACUUAGGAUAUUUAAAAAUGUUGCUAAAUAAAAUAAUAUUACCAAAACUGUAUAGAUAGCAUUAUCUAAGUGAAAUUACAUUUAUAUACUAUUGUACUAUCAGCCAGAGCCUGUUGGCAGCAAUGUUCUACGGGACAUCAUUAGCAUACGAUGUGACUCACACCAUCCUGAACUAGGAUGUCUGGAGCUGUUAACUUAUGAAUUAAUGUGAAAUCUGCUGUUUAAUAAAUACUUUAUACUGCUUGUUUAGUGAUAUUCAGCAGCAGACUGUAAAGUUUCUCAUUGUGAGAGUCACCUGUAAGAUCAGGUUCCUCCUGAUGUCUUGAAUGAAAAUUUCUAUGUUUAGAAAACACCUGCAACUUGUUAAAGCUACUGCACUCGUUCAUCCAAAAUGUAACCUCAGAACAAUUCCAGCCCCUGUGCUUUCUUAGCCAUGCAAUGUCUUAAUUUUCUUCCUAUUUUUGUUUUCUUUAAUUAGGUUGUGCCCCUACAGCCCAAAGCAUGUAAAAAAUUUAAGUUAACCGGAGGUAAGAAUCUGGGUUUAAAUUCUAUCUAAACAGAGUUCUUAUUAAAUCUGUUUCCAACUGCUUGGCCAGCCAGUGUAGACAAACUGAUAGAAAUACAGGCUGGCCACAUUAUGUCCAAUAUUGUUCAGCCAAGCGGUGUUAGAAGAGUGUUCUGUUGGCUCCCUUCUUAUGCACUGUUUCCAAACUCUGUUACUAGCCCCUUUGAGAGAAGCCCAUACUGCAAAGAAAUGUACAGAACAACUUGGUGUCCAGUGCUACAACUGCAGGGACAGAGUUGUGCAUAAUGCAAAGUUGAGGGAAGGUUUUUUCUUUAAGUGAUGCAUAAUUAACCUAUCAAAUGCCUCAAGUACCUUAUUAAAGCUUCAUCCUCCUUAUGCCCAGUGGAUGGGCAGUCUUGAAAAUGGGCCUUUCCUUGUGUUGCCUCUGAUGUGGGACUUGACAGAUGUCUAUUCACUGAGGACACUUCCUGGGCUUUUCAUUGGCAGCCCUUCUUUUUGCUGAGAGGAGAAAUAUUGAAAAUCAUUAGACAAAUACUUGUCAAGUAUGGCCUUGUCAGGUAUAUUUGGCCCCCAGUGCAGCGGGCUGGACUAGAUGACCUCUCGAGAUCCCUUGCAGCCCGGCAUUUCUAUGGUAAAUUAGGAAAUACAUAUGUGCUGCUGGAUCACUUAAUCAACUAAAUAUUGACCUCUUUUGGUGGGGCGGGGAAGGCUUCCUCUACAUAUGAUGAAGUCUCCCAUUGAGUGUGUGGGUGCUGAGAUGAGACCAAAGACUGAUUUUGGACCUGCAGCCUCCUCCACAAGUGCCACAGGUAAAGACAAUUGUAAAUGAAUUAGUGCUGCUUUUAGCUUUUUACAUCUUGCACGUCUCUCCUUGAUUGCAGAAAUCGUCAAGCUCUCAAAAUCAUCCAGUCUGAGGUGGCAGGGCUGCUGCUGUCAGAUCUUGGGCUGAGAGCUCCCAGGUGCUGAGGUCAAUGUUGUAAGAUUGGAGAUGAGACAAUGCCAAAAAGACUGAGAGAAAGGAGAUGGUGCCUUGUGCAACAAUAACUUCUUAUAUCUACAAUGACUUCCAUCUGAGGCUCUCAAUGCUUUACGCCUGCUACUUAAGUCUGAGACAUUGGGCCCCAACUUUUGGACUUUGGCUCAGCUCAUAAACUGACAAAUAAAAACACGACUUCACCCGUAACACAGCUUCUUCUCAAAGGCUGGUCUGGCCCCACCUAUGCUUGUUCUCAGCAGAUGAAGAGCUGAGGCCCAGAGUGAUGAAGUGACUUGCCCAAUGUCGCAUAAUGAGCACCUGAUGGACAAGACUUUCUUCCCAAUCAACACAGACCCUUUGCAUCUGUCCAACAGUUGAAGGACAUAAUUAAUUCCAUCUCUGCACCAAAACCCACCACUGCUGGAACGAGAGAAUCUGUGGACUACUAAUACAGUUGGAGCUGUGCUAACAACGCUUUCGGUAAAGAGAAGCGAAGAGACCAGGAGUGUCAACGGUCAGAGGCUUUGAACUUCCAGAUGCUACUUCUGCGUGGAGCGAACAUGCAGCCUUCGUUCGACUUACUUGAUUAAGUAGAAUUUACAUUUCUCUGGGGUUUUUAACCAAAAAUAUCAGGUAUGUUCCAUUUCCUGCCUGGUUAGCCUCCCUAUACUUCCUUUUUGGCACUAGCUUUCGAAAGCCACAAGAUAUUUUCCUAAGUGUUCAGUUGCCCCCUAGUGGGCUUCAGGAAAAUAACAUCCUCAUAGUUUAUGGCCACUGUGACCAAUCUGCACUAGGACAUGCAAGAGCAAGAAAAAUCUUAGGGGCAUGUUCUAAGGAAAGACUGGAGUAACUCCACUGACUUCAACAGAGUUACUCUGCAUUCAUACUGGGGGAAUCAAGAUCAGAAUCUUGGUCUGUCUUUAGGAGAGGGAACAUAGAUGCUUGCCGUCCUCUGUGGCUAUGGCAGAGUUGCUUUCCUCUAAGUGUCUGCCAGGAAAGAGAGCCAAGGGCACUCAAACCUUUCUCUAAUCCCCACCGUGAAACAGCAUUACACUGCUCUAGAAACGUGCUUGUGGAAUUCUGGGCCUUAAUAGCAAUUUUUACUUUUGUGUCGUGACCAGGGUAUCAUGCUGUGCCUUGCUGAAGUGCAUAUAGAUAAUCUGAUUGCUUCCCCCCCCCCCCCAUCUGUUUAAAAACAAUUUCUCCCUAGACUGACUGGCUCCCAACAUCUUUUACCCAUCUAAUGGUAUUUUUAAACAAUCUUCUUCAUACCAGCUGCAGCUCAGGUUCAACCUGGUGUGAUGGCCCUGGCCCACUCAAUUGCCAGUAGAGUUAGGAUUUGAUUUUUAAUACAAAAAUAAUGUAAUUUAACAUGCAGGCUCCUGUCCCCUACUGUUUGUUGCUACUUCAUGAACCUGUGCUAACAGUGAGGGAUGUUGAAAAAAAAGCUCUGAUCGGUAAUACUACCCUUCCUCUCCAUCAAUGGGCAUGAAUUAUGAUCUGCAACAAAAUUGAUUAUUACCCCCACCUUUAUACCAUGGUACAGGACUCUUAAAUCCAGGAUCACAUGAAAGAGCUCAGUUGUAGCUGUCUGCUCCACCAAGGCACUUCUCCCAUCUUGCGCUACAUGUGCAGGAAUGCUGUCUAGAAAGCAAUGAUGCCUACGUAAUCUGUAACUUUCCUUCAAAAGGGAAGGAGAGUAGCCCCAGUUUGAGUUAGUCUUCAAGUACGUCUAAGACCAGCUGCUGUGAAACCAUCUUCCCAUCAAGUUUGUAACUGGUAACAAGGUUUUCAUACAGUGCCCUUUGGGUGUAUGGAUGGUGGGCAGAUCAGUGUGUAAUUAAUGCAAAAAUACCACCCUCUGCUCUCUAACUUAGCCCCUCCCUCAAAAAGAAUUAUUCCUUGAGGUUAGUAAUUAGGACUAACAGCGUUAGUCCAGAUGCUGCAUUCCUUUUCAAAGGGUGGUUUAAGUGUGUGCAGUUUAAAAAUCUUUACCCUAAAGAGCUGCUGUUUUCAGUAAUAUCCUAAAAUAAAUGAAAUAUAAGGUCUGAUAGAUUUACUUUGGGGAAGAAGUUACUGUCAAGCAAUGGCUCACUGAGGUUGAGAAGCCAGGAAACUGGGCAGUUAACUGUUCCAUCUCUGUGUGAUGAAAAAGCAUAUGGGCAACACUCUUGAGUAGAUACUGAAAGUGUGCUGUUUUAAAAAAAAAAAAAAAAAAAGCCACACAGCCUGCAAGUGCUUUAACUCACCUUGCUUUCAUCCUGUGAGAACAAGCCAGGUACUAACCCCCUUUGCUGCAGUAAUUAAAGGAAAAUCCAUCAAAUGAGAGCUCACAGCCAGCAAGAUCCAACACUUGGAAUUCAUUAGUGACCAAACCUGAAGAGGUAGUGUAA